rnacentral:rRNA from 1 species
GUGGGGAAUAUUGGGCAAUGGGGGAAACCCUGACCCAGCAACGCCGCGUGAAGGAAGAAGGUUUUCGGAUCGUAAACUUCUAUCCUUGGUGAAAAUAAUGAUGGUAGCCAAGAAGGAAGCCCCGGCUAACUACGUGCCAGCAGCCGCGGUAAUACGUAGGGGGCAAGCGUUGUCCGGAAUGAUUGGGCGUAAAGGGCGCGUAGGCGGCCUGGUAAGUCUGGAGUGAAAGUCCUGCUUUUAAGGUGGGAAUGGCUUUGGAUACUGUCGGGCUUGAGUGCAGGAGAGGUAAGUGGAAUUCCCGGUGUAGCGGUGAAAUGCGGAGAGAUCGGGAGGAACACCAGUGGCGAAGGCGACUUACUGGACUGUAACUGACGCUGAGGCGCGAAAGUGUGGGGAGCAAACAGGAUUAGAAACCCCAGUAGUCC